rnacentral:rRNA from 1 species
CACGGGGGCAACCCUGGUGGCGAGUGGCGAACGGGUGAGUAAUGCAUCGGAACGUGCCCAGUAGUGGGGGAUAACCCGGCGAAAGCCGGGCUAAUACCGCAUACGACCUACGGGUGAAAGCGGGGGACCGCAAGGCCUCGCGCUAUUGGAGCGGCCGAUGUCUGAUUAGCUAGUUGGCGGGGUAAGAGCCCACCAAGGCGACGAUCAGUAGCUGGUCUGAGAGGACGACCAGCCACACUGGGACUGAGACACGGCCCAGACUCCUACGGGAGGCAGCAGUGGGGAAUUUUGGACAAUGGGCGCAAGCCUGAUCCAGCCAUGCCGCGUGCGGGAAGAAGGCCUUCGGG